GCCUAGCCCAUACAUCAUGUCCAAAAGAGAAAUUCAUGACAGAAACUGAACAAUAAGAGUCCAUCCUCGAAGCAUGACUCACCAAAGAUCGGAAAUCAAUCAAAUCACCAACUAGCCAUGAAACUGAGCACUUUGAAUAUCGGACCCUACAUUUGGGGAAAAUGUAGGUAAGAGUAUGUGUUAGUACAAAACAAUGUACCAAGUAUGAUAGCAAUGCAAAAAAAAACAUUUAAAUCAUGCUAUAAAGGGACAUUUCAUUUCAUGACAUGUAAUUGACCAAGCUAAAUAUGAUAUAAAAAGAGUUAUAAAACUUAAUGCAUAAAUCAUGGUCAACACAAGCUAACUUCAUCUUUAAAACCUUUGAGCUCAUAUGCAAUACUUCUUAAAGUAACCUUAGUUCAUUAUUACUUGUGGGAAAUUAGCUUUAACCGACAUUGAGACCAUGUGAGCAAUAACAUGAUCCCCCGGUGUCUCCCACACCGAAAAGGGUUGUUCUACUUGCCGAAGGUAGAACAUUGAACUUCUAUCUUAAGUGGAUCCACUAUCUAAUCAACCUAUGGGGGCACAUAGUUAUGAGAUAAGUAGAUUGAUACUAGAACCCCGGUGUCUACUAAUAGGGGGAGCUUCCAUCUCAUAAGAUUGCUUUGUAAACCCAGCCUCUAAUACGGGAGAGCUUUUAUCUCACUAUCAAUAUCCACUCGGUGCUAAGCAUAAAUUCCCACGGAAUAGUCAUUUCUUACUUGACUUCAUUACUCAUGAAAAAUUUCCCUUUGACAACCAAUUCAAGCUAGUUUCAUUAAGAUAUCUCCUUGUCUUUGAUUCAAUUACGUGAGAAAGUCUUUCAACCUAAGAAUCCUUUCUAUGAGAGAAAACCUUUCACAUCAUCCUAGUUAUGUGUUUAGUGAGAAUAUCCUUUGACAACACAACAUCAUCAUUGUUAUUUUACUCUCAACCCUUAAAACAUUCACAUAACUUUCAUAAGAAAAUAUAUAAGUCCAUAAUUCACCUCUAGAGGUCAAAACUCACUUUCAAUCAUAAACUCUUAGAAAACAUGGGUUAGAUAUGGAUUUCAUCAUAAAUACAUGUAAAGCUUGCAAUACAUAUUAAAUUUCAUAAAACACUUCCUUGAAGAUCAAAAUCCCACAUCAUAUGAUUCAUAACUUCAAAACAUGGGGAUUACAUGGGUUUAAGGGGAAAAUCAUCAUAAAAUCAUUGCAAUUCAUCAAUUCAUGAGAGAUCAUAAUUAAAUAAUUUAAAUCAACAAUUUAGAGAAGAAAUGAUAAUUAAAGUAAACCCUAACUUAAUUUGGGAAUUUUAAUCUUUGAAAUUGAGGAAUUUAGGAACUCCAUGGAUGAAAGGAACCCAUGGAUGAAA
rnacentral:lncRNA from 1 species